rnacentral:rRNA from 1 species
GUGUCAGCAGCCGCGGUAAUACAGAGGGUGCUAGCGUUGUUCGGAAUUAUUGGGCGUAAAGCGCGUGUAGGCGGCCGGCCAAGUCGGAUGUGAAAGCCCUCGGCUCAACCGAGGAAGUGCGUUCGAUACUAGCUGGCUUGAGUACCGGAGAGGGUGGUGGAAUUCCCGGUGUAGAGGUGAAAUUCGUAGAUAUCGGGAGGAACACCAGUGGCGAAGGCGACCACCUGGACGGAUACUGACGCUGAGACGCGAAAGCGUGGGGAGCAAACAGGAUUAGAUACCCUCGUAGUCC